CCCUUAGAUGUCCGGGGCCACACGCGCGCUACACUGAAGGAAUCAGCGUGGCUUUCUCCCUGACCCGAAAGGGUUGGGAAACCCGUUGAAUCUCCUUCGUGAUAGGGAUUGGGGCUUGAAAUUGUUCCCCAUGAACGAGGAAUUCCCAGUAAGCGCGAGUCAUAAGCUCGCGUUGAUUACGUCCCUGCCCUUUGUACACACCGCCCGUCGCUACUACCGAUUGAACGGUUUAGUGAGGACCUCGGAUUGGUCUCGGCCCGCUCUUUACCGGGCGGCGCCGUUGGUCGAGAAGACGCUCGAACUUGAUCGUUUAGAGGAAGUAAAAGUCGUAACA
rnacentral:rRNA from 1 species